CAGUCGCCGCGGUAAUACGUAGGUGGCAAGCGUUGUCCGGAAUUAUUGGGCGUAAAGGGCGCGUAGGCGGAUGAUUAAGUCGAGGGUGGAAGCCCGGGGCUCAACCUCGGAACUGCCUUUGAUACUGGUCAUCUUGAGUACGGGAGAGGUGUGUGGAACUCCGAGUGUAGAGGUGAAAUUCGUAGAUAUUCGGAAGAACACCAGUGGCGAAGGCGACACACUGGCCCGUUACUGACGCUGAGGCGCGAAAGCGUGGGGAGCAAACAGGAUUAGAUACCCCGGUAGUCCCUGUCUCUUAUAU
rnacentral:rRNA from 1 species